rnacentral:lncRNA from 1 species
ACUUAACUCUGGUCCCGGGCAGCCAAGACAAAGCGAAAGUCUCUCCCCAGGAGGACUCUCUUACUCCCCUUCUCAGCUCCUGGCCUCCAGCUUCUUUUCAUGUGGUAUGUCUACCAUCCUGCAAACUUGGAUGGGCAGCAGGCUGCCUCUUGUCCAGGCUCCAUCCUUAGAGUUCCUUAUCCCUGCUCUGGUGCUGACCAGCCAGAAGCUACCCCGGGCCAUCCAGACACCUGGAAACUCCUCCCUCAUGCUGCACCUUUGUAGGGGACCUAGCUGCCAUGGCCUGGGGCACUGGAACACUUCUCUCCAGGAGGUGUCCGGGGCAGUGGUAGUAUCUGGGCUGCUGCAGGGCAUGAUGGGGCUGCUGGGGAGUCCCGGCCACGUGUUCCCCCACUGUGGGCCCCUGGUGCUGGCUCCCAGCCUGGUUGUGGCAGGGCUCUCUGCCCACAGGGAGGUAGCCCAGUUCUGCUUCACACACUGGGGGUUGGCCUUGCUGUACGUGAGUCCUGA